rnacentral:rRNA from 1 species
GGGUUGUGAGGUUAAGCGACUAAGCGUACACGGUGGAUGCCCUGGCAGUCAGAGGCGAUGAAGGACGUGCUAAUCUGCGAUAAGCGUCGGUAAGGUGAUAUGAACCGUUAUAACCGGCGAUUUCCGAAUGGGGAAACCCAGUGUGUUUCGACACACUAUCAUUAACUGAAUCCAUAGGUUAAUGAGGCGAACCGGGGGAACUGAAACAUCUAAGUACCCCGAGGAAAAGAAAUCAACCGAGAUUCCCCCAGUAGCGGCGAGCGAACGGGGAGCAGCCCAGAGCCUGAAUCAGUGUGUGUGUUAGUGGAAGCGUCUGGAAAGGCGCGCGAUACAGGGUGACAGCCCCGUACACAAAAAUGCACAUGCUGUGAGCUCGAUGAGUAGGGCGGGACACGUGGUAUCCUGUCUGAAUAUGGGGGGACCAUCCUCCAAGGCUAAAUACUCCUGACUGACCGAUAGUGAACCAGUACCGUGAGGGAAAGGCGAAAAGAACCCCGGCGAGGGGAGUGAAAAAGAACCUGAAACCGUGUACGUACAAGCAGUGGGAGCACGCUUAGGCGUGUGACUGCGUACCUUUUGUAUAAUGGGUCAGCGACUUAUAUUCUGUAGCAAGGUUAACCGAAUAGGGGAGCCGAAGGGAAACCGAGUCUUAACUGGGCGUUAAGUUGCAGGGUAUAGACCCGAAACCCGGUGAUCUAGCCAUGGGCAGGUUGAAGGUUGGGUAACACUAACUGGAGGACCGAACCGACUAAUGUUGAAAAAUUAGCGGAUGACUUGUGGCUGGGGGUGAAAGGCCAAUCAAACCGGGAGAUAGCUGGUUCUCCCCGAAAGCUAUUUAGGUAGCGCCUCGUGAAUUCAUCUCCGGGGGUAGAGCACUGUUUCGGCAAGGGGGUCAUCCCGACUUACCAACCCGAUGCAAACUGCGAAUACCGGAGAAUGUUAUCACGGGAGACACACGGCGGGUGCUAACGUCCGUCGUGAAGAGGGAAACAACCCAGACCGCCAGCUAAGGUCCCAAAGUCAUGGUUAAGUGGGAAACGAUGUGGGAAGGCCCAGACAGCCAGGAUGUUGGCUUAGAAGCAGCCAUCAUUUAAAGAAAGCGUAAUAGCUCACUGGUCGAGUCGGCCUGCGCGGAAGAUGUAACGGGGCUAAACCAUGCACCGAAGCUGCGGCAGCGACGCUGAUGCGUUGUUGGGUAGGGGAGCGUUCUGUAAGCCUGCGAAGGUGUGCUGUGAGGCAUGCUGGAGGUAUCAGAAGUGCGAAUGCUGACAUAAGUAACGAUAAAGCGGGUGAAAAGCCCGCUCGCCGGAAGACCAAGGGUUCCUGUCCAACGUUAAUCGGGGCAGGGUGAGUCGACCCCUAAGGCGAGGCCGAAAGGCGUAGUCGAUGGGAAACAGGUUAAUAUUCCUGUACUUGGUGUUACUGCGAAGGGGGGACGGAGAAGGCUAUGUUGGCCGGGCGACGGUUGUCCCGGUUUAAGCGUGUAGGCUGGUUUUCCAGGCAAAUCCGGAAAAUCAAGGCUGAGGCGUGAUGACGAGGCACUACGGUGCUGAAGCAACAAAUGCCCUGCUUCCAGGAAAAGCCUCUAAGCAUCAGGUAACAUCAAAUCGUACCCCAAACCGACACAGGUGGUCAGGUAGAGAAUACCAAGGCGCUUGAGAGAACUCGGGUGAAGGAACUAGGCAAAAUGGUGCCGUAACUUCGGGAGAAGGCACGCUGAUAUGUAGGUGAAGUCCCUUGCGGAUGGAGCUGAAAUCAGUCGAAGAUACCAGCUGGCUGCAACUGUUUAUUAAAAACACAGCACUGUGCAAACACGAAAGUGGACGUAUACGGUGUGACGCCUGCCCGGUGCCGGAAGGUUAAUUGAUGGGGUUAGCGCAAGCGAAGCUCUUGAUCGAAGCCCCGGUAAACGGCGGCCGUAACUAUAACGGUCCUAAGGUAGCGAAAUUCCUUGUCGGGUAAGUUCCGACCUGCACGAAUGGCGUAAUGAUGGCCAGGCUGUCUCCACCCGAGACUCAGUGAAAUUGAACUCGCUGUGAAGAUGCAGUGUACCCGCGGCAAGACGGAAAGACCCCGUGAACCUUUACUAUAGCUUGACACUGAACAUUGAGCCUUGAUGUGUAGGAUAGGUGGGAGGCUUAGAAGUGUGGACGCCAGUCUGCAUGGAGCCGACCUUGAAAUACCACCCUUUAAUGUUUGAUGUUCUAACGUUGACCCGUAAUCCGGGUUGCGGACAGUGUCUGGUGGGUAGUUUGACUGGGGCGGUCUCCUCCUAAAGAGUAACGGAGGAGCACGAAGGUUGGCUAAUCCUGGUCGGACAUCAGGAGGUUAGUGCAAUGGCAUAAGCCAGCUUGACUGCGAGCGUGACGGCGCGAGCAGGUGCGAAAGCAGGUCAUAGUGAUCCGGUGGUUCUGAAUGGAAGGGCCAUCGCUCAACGGAUAAAAGGUACUCCGGGGAUAACAGGCUGAUACCGCCCAAGAGUUCAUAUCGACGGCGGUGUUUGGCACCUCGAUGUCGGCUCAUCACAUCCUGGGGCUGAAGUAGGUCCCAAGGGUAUGGCUGUUCGCCAUUUAAAGUGGUACGCGAGCUGGGUUUAGAACGUCGUGAGACAGUUCGGUCCCUAUCUGCCGUGGGCGCUGGAGAACUGAGGGGGGCUGCUCCUAGUACGAGAGGACCGGAGUGGACGCAUCACUGGUGUUCGGGUUGUCAUGCCAAUGGCACUGCCCGGUAGCUAAAUGCGGAAGAGAUAAGUGCUGAAAGCAUCUAAGCACGAAACUUGCCCCGAGAUGAGUUCUCCCUGACUCCUUGAGAGUCCUGAAGGAACGUUGAAGACGACGACGUUGAUAGGCCGGGUGUGUAAGCGCAGCGAUGCGUUGAGCUAACCGGUACUAAUGAACCGUGAGGCUUAACCUUACAACGCCGAAGGUGUUU